rnacentral:tRNA from 1 species
GGGCGAUUAGCUCAGCUGGUUAGAGCGCCUGCUUUACACGCAGGAGGCCGGAGGUUCGAGUCCUACAUCGCCCA